rnacentral:rRNA from 1 species
GUAGGUGGCAAGCGUUGUCCGGAUUUACUGGGCGUAAAGGGCGUGUAGGCGGUCCGCUAAGUCCGGUGUGAAAUCUCCCGGCUCAACUGGGAGGGGUCAUCGGAUACUGGCGGGCUAGAGGAGGGCAGAGGAAGGUGGAAUUCCCGGUGUAGCGGUGAUAUGCGUAGAUAUCGGGAGGAACACCAGUGGCGAAGGCGGCCUUCUGGGCCCAUCCUGACGCUGAGGCGCGAAAGCGUGGGGAGCAAACCGGAUUAGGGUACCCGGGGGUAGUCCACGCCCUAAACGUUGGACACUAGGUGUGGGGGGUGUCGACCCCCCUCUGUGCCCGUAGCUAACGCAUUAAGUGUCCCGCCUGGGGAGUACGGCCGCAAGGCUA